rnacentral:tRNA from 1 species
GGGCGAGUGGUGGAAUUGGUAGACACGCCAGUCUUAGGAACUGGUGUCGCAAGACGUGUAGGUUCAAAUCCUAUCUCGCCUA